rnacentral:rRNA from 1 species
CUAAAUACUACCCAGUGACCGAUAGCGUAUAGUACUGUGAAGGAAAGGUGAAAAGCACCCCGGGAGGGGAGUGAAAUAGAACCUGAAACCCUGUGCCUACAAGCACCUAGAGCACGUCAAUGUGUGAUAGGGUACUUUUUGUAGAACGGUCCGGCGAGCGAUUGUAUGCAGCAAGGUUAAGGACUUAAGGUCUGGAGCCGAAGCGAAAGCGAGUUUGAAAAGGGCGUUAAGUUGCAUACAAUGGGCCCGAAACCGGGUGACCUACCCAUGGUCAGGUUGAAGUGGAAGUAAAAUUCCAUGGAGGACCGAACCGACCUCCGUUGAAAAGGCGGCGGAUGAACUGUGGGUAGCGGAGAAAUUCCAAUCGAACCCGGAGAUAGCUGGUUCUCCCCGAAAUAGUUUUAGGACUAGCCUCAAGUUAGAUACCUGGAGGUAAAGCACUGAAUAGCCUAGCGGCCGAGAGGUUAGCGAAGCUUAUCAAACUCAGAAUGCCAGAGUAUUGAUGCUUGGGAGUCAGACAGUGUCAGAUAAAUGUCAUUGUCAAAAGGGAAACAGCCCAGAUCUACAGCUAAGGUCCCAAAGUCAGGUUAAGUGGAAAACGAUGUGAAGAUACGUAGACAACCAGGAUGUUGGCUCAGAAGCAGCCACUCAUUCAAAGAGUGCGUAAUAGCUCACUGGUCGAGCGUCUUUGCGCGGAGAAUUUAACGGGGCUAAACCUGACACCGAAGCUUAGGCAAUCCAGCAAUGGAUUGGGUAGGGGAGCGUUGUAUACGCGGAGAAACAGUAGCGCAAGCGGCUGUGGAGUGUAUAGAAGUGAGAAUGCCGGAAUGAGUAGCGCGAAUGCAGUGAGAAUCUGCAUGGCCGAAAGCCUCAGGUUUCUGGAGGAAGGUUCGUCCGCUCCAGGUUAGUCGGGAGCUAAGGUGAGGCCGAAAGGCGUAGCCGAUGCACAGACGGUAGAGAUUCCGUCACCACCAAAAGAGUUAAGCACAGGGACACAUUUGAAGUCUCGGAGCCGGGUGUUGGUUCCGGUAGCGAUCGAGGGAAGUUAGUACCGAAGUCCGGGAUGGAAGAUGGCGAGAAAAGCUGUGUGUAUUUCUGCGGUGCCCGUACCGCAAACCGACACAGGUAGGUAGGAAGAAGAUUCUAAGGCCAACGGGAGAAGGGUUGUUAAGGAACUCGGCAAAUUGACCCCGUAACUUCGGGAGAAGGGGUGCUCCAGAGAUGGAGCCGCAGAGAAUCGGCCCAAGCAACUGUUUACCAAAAACACAGGUUUGUGCUAAAUCGAAAGAUGACGUAUACGAGCUGACGCCUGCCCGGUGCUGGAAGGUUAAGAGGAGAUGUGCAAGCAUUGAAUCGAAGCCCCAGUGAACGGCGGCCGUAACUAUAACGGUCCUAAGGUAGCGAAAUUCCUUGUCAGGUAAGUUCUGACCCGCAUGAAAGGCGUAAUGAUUUGGGCACUGUCUCAACAGCCCGCCCGGCGAAAUUGUAGUACCGGUGAAGAUGCCGGUUACCCGC